CACGAGAGCUUGCCCCUAUGCCAACAUUUGCUGUGAGUGUUGGCCGCUUCUCCUAAUGUAAUUAGCUGUUUAUAAAAAUAAAUGGUCAGUCUUGGUAUGUUCAUAACAUGAAGAUGUAAAGGUCCCUGAAGCAUUGCUUCCUGGAGCUGUGGCACCAGGAUCAGAUGUCAGAGAUGCUAACACUUGCAAAGUUGCAGAGCAAGCAACUACACCUGACGGUUCACUUUCCGGACAUUUACCAGCAGCGAAAGGACAAAUUGAUCUGGAAGAGAAUGCCCCCAAGAAAGCACGUGUGGAUUAACGAGUCCCCUGUUAGAGCCUAAACAACUACGUCUUCUACGUAUCAAUUAAUCUUUUAGCAUCUUUCAACUUCGCUUAAAUCUUUUAGCAUCUUUCAACUUCGCUUAAAUCUUUUUUUUUUUAAGUCAGUAUCCUGGUUGUUGUUAUUUCUUUUAUCUAUGCAAAU
rnacentral:lncRNA from 1 species